ensembl:lncRNA
GUCGGUCUUCUGCACUCAGACUGGAACUUACACCAGUGGCUCGCCCAGGCCUCCAGCUUGCCGACUGCUGAUUUUUGGACUUGACAGCCUCCACCUCCACAGCGGCAUGAAAAAUUCCUCAUCAUCAAUCUCUCUAUGCAUAUAUCCUAUAUAUCCUUUCGGUUCUAUUUCUCUGGGGACCCCUAGAACAACACGCAAGGUGAGAGGCCCUUGAGGAGGACUGACUGUGGCUCGCUGGUCUAAAGCUCUAAGCUGCUACUGCUGCUGACUCCAGCUCUGCAGAAGAUACAGUGGUGACAUCUCCUGGGGACCGCGCCGUCGGUGCUCCAGCUUUCAGGAAGCUCCCGCCUUGGGGUGAACAGACAGCAGGUAAAGAAGCCUCAUGCAGGGCAGCAGGGGAUACCCUGGAGAGGAAAGCGAGGCAAGAAACAGACACUGUGCCAGUGGCUCCUGAAGGGAUGCACACUCGGGGAUCUCGGAGAGGGUCCAGGCUUGGACAGCCAUGCUCCCAGACAAGAGCUUCUGCUGUGCUCCCAGAUGAGAGCCAGAGCCCCACCUGUCAGGAGGCCACACUCAUGCCCAGGACUUCUGGGCCUCGGCAGUGCUCCCAAGGGUGUGGCACCAGGUGCAGCAGGGCAGCGUUUGACUCGGAGCCCGAGACAUGUAUCUGAUACAAAUGGGGCUGUUCUGGAUGAGGGAGGGGGCACCCAGCCCCCAAGUCCGGCUCCCCAGCUCCCUGACUGCCCUGGCUCUGCUGAGCACCUUCGAGACCAUAUUGGAAGCUCUCAGCGAGGCUCCUGGACCCUGGCAUCCCCGAAACCCCCUGAGGGACCCACUUUGCCAGCUGCAUGUCUGUGUCGCACGGAGCUGUCUCCUUGCUCUGCAAGCAGGUGGAAUGCAGGAGCAGGCAGGAAAAUCCAACUCUUCCGAGUCAGACACUCGAGAGCUCUGCAGACACAAAGACAAUGCCACGCCGCCCCCUAAAUGCUUUUUGUUUUGGAAAAUACAGCUGUUUGUCAUAAGAUAACCGGAAGCAGCAGAGAAAACAUCUGAAGUGCUUCCUGGACACACUGGUUAGGAAGUUUCUGCAAGAACCCAGCCUCCCUAUCUUUGCUAAGGCAGCUCCCUCCUGCUGGAAGGUUCUUCUCGAUCGUCUCUUUUCCCAUUAAAAUCUCAUCAUCUUUCAAGACCAGUUCAAGUGCUGCCUCCUCCAAGAAGUCCUCCUGAUCACUCCUGGCAGAAGUCACCUCCUCUCUCUCUCAGAGCAUAUUCCAUCACAACAUUGCCGCCUGCAGAGUGGAAUUCUGUACGUACGGAUGGAGAAGCACUUGUUAUGCUGGGAGGUGAGAUGCUUCACGAGCUACCUGCCUGCUAAGCUUGCACGUUGUCUCCUGACUUCAAGAGCUUGUUUUAUACGCAGAACACGAGACGCCUGAUGAUGUGAACACCACUGGAAUCCUCAUUCUGCUCAGGCGGCAGGCCCGAAGAGCACAUGCAAAAGUCGGUGGCCUAAUCCUCUUGGCAUCUGUUACAGUAAACGCAUUGUCGUGGGAACACGCCAGGCCCAUUUGCCCAGGUAUCACCCACGGCUGCUUCUGCACUACAACAGCAGAGUUACACAGUCACAAAUCCUAAAAUGUUCACUGUCUGGUCCGUUCCUGACGUUUACUUGCCCCUGCCCCAAACCCGCCGCCACGCGGAGCUGAUUCCUGGGCAGCGAUAGAUGGUGUCUCUUUCACUCCUUAAUAAGACAUGAUUCCACGGGGUAGACGUCCCUCCCUGUGACCUCACUUAGCUCCCAGCUGACCCAAUCAGCUCACCUCCUCCCCUGAGGGAACCCUGCCAUUCUCAGAGGAGGGAGCAUCGUCUGACCAACAGGCUGAGGAAUGCCAGCUGUCCACGGGCUGUCAUCUGAUCCCUCACUCACAGAGGAAUCCUUUGUGGGGGUCAGAGUCAUUGAUCUUCAUAAAAACAGUCAAACUCUUGUUAUCUUGGCAGUACCUGCACCAGGCAGAAACACAACCUGCACCACAUCAGCCUUGAACGUUGUCUCCUA